AAAUGCUAGGAUGUGAUGCGGAGCGAAAUUUAGUAGCGAAGUAGCUGAUUUCACACUGUCGAGAAAAGUCUCUAUCGAGGUUAAAGGUGCCUGUACCGCAAACCGACACAGGUGGGUGAGGAGAGUAUCCUAAGGCCAGCCAGAGAACUGUUGUUAAGGAACUCGGCAAAAUGACCCCGUAACUUCGGGAGAAGGGGUGCCUGUCCUUGACAGGCCGCAGAGAAUAGGCCCAAGCGACUGUUUACCAAAAACACAGGUUUCUGCUAAGUCGCAAGACGAUGUAUAGGAGCUGACGCCUGCCCGGUGCUGGAAGGUUAAGGGGAUCUGUUAGAGCAAUCGAAGCAGUGAACUUAAGCCCCAGUAAACGGCGGCCGUAACAAUAACGGUCCUAAGGUAGCGAAAUUUCUUGUCGGGUAAGUUCCGACCCGCACGAAAGGCGUAACGAUUUGGGCACUGUCUCAACAACAGACUGGGUGAAAUUGUAAUACCGGUGAAGAUGCCGGUUACCUGCGACAGGACGGAAAGACCCCAUGGAGCUUUACUGUAGCUUGACAUUGGGUCUUGGUACAACAUGUACAGGAUAGGUGGGAGACUAUGAAGCCGGAACGCCAGUUUCGGUGGAGUCAUCCUUGGGAUACCACCCUUGUAGUACUGGGACUCUAACCAUAGGCCAUGAAUCUGGUCUUGGGACACUGUCAGGUGGGCAGUUUGACUGGGGCGGUCGCCUCCUAAAAAGUAACGGAGGCGCUCAAAGGUUCUCUCAGUACGGUCGGAAAUCGUACGUAGAGUGUAAAGGCACAAGAGAGCUUGAUUGCAAGACAUACAGGUCGAGCAAGGACGAAAGUCGGACUUAGUGAUCCGGUGGUUCCGCAUGGAAGGGCCAUCGCUCAACGGAUAAAAGCUACCCUGGGGAUAACAGGCUUAUCUCCCCCAAGAGUCCACAUCGACGGGGAGGUUUGGCACCUCGAUGUCGGCUCAUCACAUCCUGGGGCUGUAGUAGGUCCCAAGGGUUGGGCUGUUCGCCCAUUAAAGUGGUACGCGAGCUGGGUUCAGAACGUCGUGAGACAGUUCGGUCCCUAUCCGUCGCAGGCGUAGGAAAUUUGAGGAGACCUGUCCUUAGUACGAGAGGACCGGGGUGGACGCACCGCUGGUGUACCAGUUGUUCUGCCAAGGGCAUAGCUGGGUAGCUAAGUGCGGAAUGGAUAAGCGCUGAAAGCAUCUAAGCGCGAAGCCGACUUCAAGAUAAGAUUUCCCACCGUAAGGGUAAGACCCCAGGAAGACUACCUGGUUGAUAGGUCGGAGGUGGAAGUGCAGUAAUGUAUGUAGCUUACCGAUACUAAUAGGUCGAGGACUUGACC
rnacentral:rRNA from 1 species